CCUACGGGUGGCAGCAGUGAGGAAUAUUGGUCAGUGGGCGGAAGCCUGAACCAGCCAAGUCGCGUGAGGGAUUAAGGCCCUGCGGGUCGUAAACCUCUUUUGCCGGGGAGCAGAGGUCCGGACGUGUCCGGGCCGGGAGAGUACCCGGAGAAAAAGCAUCGGCUAACUCCGUGCCAGCAGCCGCGGUAAUACGGAGGAUGCGAGCGUUAUCCGGAUUUAUUGGGUUUAAAGGGAGCGUAGGCGGUUUAGCAAGUCAGAAGUGAAAGCCCGGGGCUCAACUCCGGGACUGCUUUUGAAACUGUUGAACUAGAUUGCAGGAGAGGUAAGUGGAAUUCCUAGUGUAGCGGUGAAAUGCGUAGAUAUUAGGAGGAACACCAGUGGCGAAGGCGGCUUACUGGACUGUAAAUGACGCUGAGGCUCGAAAGCGUGGGGAGCAAACAGGAUUAGAUACCCCUGUAGUC
rnacentral:rRNA from 1 species